UGAUUAUUAAUUCUUUUGGGAAAAGAAGAAUGGGUUUGUUUGCCAAGUUGACAUGACUCACAAUAUAAAGAGGACAAGUUAGAAAGAGAAGGAGCCAAUUUCUGGAGUUUGAAGAUAUUUGGGUGACUUAGACUACCAUGAUGAAGAUCAGGUGAAACGUUAGAACAAAGGCAACUAGGGACUUUAGGUUGAAGAGAUGGUACCGUCCUUGUGACUCACGGCUUAUUGCAAUCAUCUUUCUCGUAUCCUGGUCUUGCAUAAGAAUGAAGUCAGCAAAAAAGGUUACAAAAUACUUUAGAUGUUUAGUUAAUUUAGUAAUGGAUACCGAAUUAUGUGGACAUUCAAGUGCAAAUAAAACUAAAUUGAAUGGUAAGGAAGGAAGGGUGUAUGCUUUACCUAUUCCUUUGACCAUAGUUGUUGAUUCCUUAGCUACGGUAACAUAAAAAAAGAUUGAAGAAGAAUAUAUAAUAGAGAAAAGAGUUUGGUUAUCAGAAAUGUGAUCUAAGGCACAAUCAAGAAUCCAUGACUCAUUAAAUAAAGACUGUGUUGAAAUAAGCAGAUGAAUUACCAGGUUGGACUGUAGAAGCAAUGGAUGAGUAUGCUUAUUGUUUUGCUGCUUGGUACUAUAUGUACAUCAUUGUAAUCAGUUCCACUUAGAAUAAUAGAGUACAGUGAAGUAGCACCUUUUUUGCACUUUUUUUUUAUUAUUUUUUUAA
rnacentral:misc_RNA from 1 species